rnacentral:tRNA from 1 species
GGACCCAUGGCUCAGUGGCAGAGUCUCUGAAUGGCAUACGGAAGGUACCAGGUUCAAUCCCCGGCAUGUCCA